rnacentral:rRNA from 1 species
ACGUAGGUGGCAAGCGUUGUCCGGAUUUACUGGGCGUAAAGGAUGCGUAGGUGGAUAUGCAAGUCAGAUGUGAAAUACCCGGGCUCAACUCGGGUGCUGCAUUUGAAACUAUAUAUCUAGAGUGCAGGAGAGGUAAGUGGAAUUCCUAGUGUAGCGGUGAAAUGCGUAGAGAUUAGGAAGAACACCAGUGGCGAAGGCGACUUACUGGACUGUAACUGACACUGAGGCAUGAAAGCGUGGGGAGCAAACAGG